AUACGGAGGGGGCUAGCGUUGUUCGGAUUUACUGGGCGUAAAGCGCACGUAGGCGGUAUAUCAAGUUAGGCGUGAAAGCCCCGGGCUCAACCCGGGAACUGCGCUUAUUACUGAUAAACUGGAGUCCGGGAGAGGGUGGCGGAAUUCCCAGUGUAGAGGUGAAAUUCGUAGAUAUUGGGAAGAACACCAGUUGCGAAGGCGGCCACCUGGACCGGUACUGACGCUGAGGUGCGAAAGCGUGGGGAGCAAACAGGAUUAGAAACCCUGGUAGUCC
rnacentral:rRNA from 1 species